rnacentral:rRNA from 1 species
GAUGAACGCUGGCGGCGUGCCUAGUACAUGCAAGUAGAACGCUGAAGCUUGGUGCUUGCACCGAGCGGAUGAGUUGCGAACGGGUGAGUAACGCGUAGGUAACCUGCCUCUUAGCGGGGGAUAACUAUUGGAAACGAUAGCUAAUACCGCAUAAAAGUCGAUAUCGCAUGAUAUUGAUUUGAAAGGUGCAAAUGCAUCACUAAGAGAUGGACCUGCGUUGUAUUAGCUAGUUGGUGAGGUAACGGCUCACCAAGGCGACGAUACAUAGCCGACCUGAGAGGGUGAUCGGCCACACUGGGACUGAGACACGGCCCAGACUCCUACGGGAGGCAGCAGUAGGGAAUCUUCGGCAAUGGGGGCAACCCUGACCGAGCAACGCCGCGUGAGUGAAGAAGGGUGUCGGAUCGUAAAGCUCUGUUGUAAGAGAAGAACGAGUGUGAGAGUGGAAAGUUCACACUGUGACGGUAACUUACCAGAAAGGGACGGCUAACUACGUG